AAGCACUAAACAGUCAUAAAUACACGCCAUACACACGUUUCACACACCUCACACAUGCCCAGCACACGCCCAACACCCUCCUCUCCUCACACAUGCCCAGCACACGCCCAACACCCUCCUCUUCCAUAUUUAAUUUAUUGUCUUGAGAUACCUAUCUUAUCCUCACUUAAUCCACCCUAAAUACCAGUUAUACCCUUAAAUCCCUAACAGUGUCUAGGGUUUACCUUCUUUUCCUCUCAUAGCCGUACCUCUCUUGAAAAUAGUCCUACCUCACCCCUUUCCUCUUUGAUAGAAAAAAUUUCACAUUUCUCAGACAUGAACAGAGGUUCUGAGUGUUCAAGCUCGGAUUUGUUCGUGUUCAAGCAUAGAUCUAAGACCCCGCACCCUAGUCCACUGCACCACAAAAAGAUAAGUGAUUUUUCUUUCUUGUGAUUCUGUGGUUUUAAACACGUUUAUGAAACUGUACAUAUUGUGAAAGUGUUGUUAGUUUCCUACCAUGUUUAAGAUACUCAGCAUGCUUAUUGUCGAUCUUUGGGCCGUUUAAUUCGGAUUUGUCAUUCUGUGUUCAUUGCGUCGUUAGGAAUCAUGAGUUAGUUAUUUUUUUUAUAGCUGUAUAUGUGUUGGAAAUCAUGUGCUAGCAUCCUAUUUCCUUAUUUGGUUGUAGUAAACUGUUAUUUAGUUUCCAUUCAUGGCUAAUUCAGGAUGCUUGUUUCCAAGCUUUGUUCAAGAUUUCCUUUUCUUCACAAUCUGCAUACCAAUGUAGUUGGACUUAAAGCCCCUAUUUGUCUCGCGAGUAAUAUUUCCUUCAGUUAUGUCUAACUAAUAGUUAAAGUAAGGAACUAUGCCCUUUAAAACUUUUUGUGUGUCAAAAUAUUUAACAGAGCAAAAAGUGUUUACUUUAUGAAAGUGAUAUUCUUAUCCAUUAUAUUUUACUCUCAUUUAGAAAUAAUGUUUAAUGAUAUUAAAUACCUCAUAAGAAAAACAGAUUGUGCCUAACAUAAUGCACGCUUAUGUUAAUAUAAGUGACUAUUGUUAUUAAUCUAAGGUGACAUUAGAAAGAAGUGAAACAUAUUUUGCCUGCUCAUAGAUUAAAAUGGAAACAACAUUGUAUGAAGUGAUGAUCUCUCAUUGUUUUAAAUUCGUUUUGACUUCAAAUACUGUACCUGAUAGCAAUCCUAUUUACGUCUGUUGUGUUUAAUGUUAUAUAUGUUAUCUUAAGUAUCUGUUAAGCUACAAAGUUAAUACAUCAGUGCUAUUAUUGUUUUAUGUAUCUUAUUCUUUUUUUGUGAGAACUACAUCCCUUCCUCUAAUUUCUUUAUUUCCUUCUUUUGCAUGUACACUUUGGAGCAAAUGGAGUCUUAAUUCAGGACUCUCUCAAAACGGAGUCUCAAGAUGAGACUCAACAUAUCCGUUCAUGGAGUCAUCCCGUUUCGCAAUUCUUAAAUCACAUCGGACAGGCGAAACUCGCUAGAGACCCCCUUAUGACUACUUUUCUUUUCUCUUUUAGCGUUCACUCUGUUGUUUUUCUUCCGGUUGUUUUUGCUUAUGAGAUUUGGGUUCAUUUUGGUUUGACGUACUGCUUAACAUAGUAUAUUAGUAAAAUUCUAGUUAAUUAUCUAGGACAUCUUGUUUAGUUAAAUACCCAAAUCAAUAGUAGUUGAAAUUUGAUUUCCAAAAUAUUCAUCUAACCUUGUGAAAAGAUUUAAACUGAUUUAUUUACUCCUAUGUUUAGAUACGCAUAUAUGUCCAGCUUGAUGCUUUUGUUUCAUCUUUACUAUUCUAUUGCGUAAGGAUUCUUACAUAUGGUAUUUAUCUACUUACUAAAUUUUGAAAUAUAAAUUAUUUUAUGAUGUAGUACUUUUCUUAAAAUACUUUCAAUAUAUUCUUUUCAGUUACAUUUAUGCUCAAAACAACACAUUUCUUAAUAAGUUUUAAUCAACCUAAGUUUAGCCGGUUAACCGUAGUUAACGGAUCUUAAAGGAUGCUUAACCCUUCUUUUUAGGAUAACUAAGAAUUCUUACCUAGAAUCACAUUAGUUAAGUAGACCAUUAAUUGAAGUUAAUUUUUAGCAUUUACUUAAUUAAAAUAGGUAUCCUAAUUCUCCUCUAAAAAUAAUUAGGUGGCGACUCCUUAAGUUAGAUAACUAGGAAUCACUAAUAUGUAGUACUCUGCUUUGACCCGGUUGAAAUGGGAUAUAACAAUGAUUUUGCUACAUAACAAAUUCACCUUUCGAUAUCGGAGUCAAAGGGUUCUAGGUCCAGAAGUAGAAGAUGCAAAGGCGCCAGCAACACGAAUCAACUUAGAAUUGGAUCAACUUAGAAUAGGGAAUGGUUCACCAAAAGAAGGCUCGAAUUAUCAUAGAAACCAAGCUUCAAAACAAAUAUUUGGCCAUGGGGGCUAUGAAAGGAUGAAAAAACACCAUGAGGAUGAAUAUUUGGCCACGAGGGCUAUAAAAGAACGAAAGCGCCAUAAGGGCGAAUAUCCGGCCAUGAGAACUAUGAAAGAGCGAAAUGCCACGAGGGCGAAUAUCAAGCCACAAAGGCUACAAUGACUAAAAUUUCCAUGAUGGCAAGAAUUAGGCCAAAAGGAUCGCGACAUGAACAAACGACACAUCUGACCACGAGGGUCACAGCCGACAUGAAGGAUGAAAGAAAGACGAUUUGGUCAAAAGGGCCAUAUCUAUCAUUGCCAUCAUAUCUUCUUAUCUACCAUGAGGGCCAUUGCACGUCUACUCUCCUGCUUCCAUGAGGGCCAUUGCACGUCUACUCUUCUGCUGCCGCUAAGGCCAUUGUACGUUUACUUUCCUGCUGCCAUGAGGGCCAUUGCACGUCUACUUUCAUAUUUUCAUGAGGGCCAUUGCAAGUCUACUCUGCCGUGAGGGCCAUUUCAAUACCAGAGAUUCAGUCACACUCCUACCCAUCACACCGGCCUCCCAGUUUGAUAGCCAGGAAAGUCAAGAAUUUGUUUAAUUUGUAUUUUUAGAAGUCAUAAUUGAGUCGAACUAUAGGUAGCCUGAAUUCUCAUGAAGUCUGAGAUAUAUAGGAAACCCAAAAACUAGGGUCUGGCCAUAUAUUUGAAAAUUGCAUAAAAAUGAGAGGAAGAAUGAGUUGGGUCAAUCAAAAAUCAGGUCUAGUCAAAUUUCGUUGCUCGGGGAUGGCCUACACCAAAGGGGCGGUUGUUGACACCUAAUUUUUGACCUCCCAUAAUUUACUUUAGUCACUCAGAGCCCUUGGAUGCCAAACCGAGUGAAAUAUGCAUUUUUUAGAAGUCAAAAUG